rnacentral:rRNA from 1 species
UACGUAGGGGGCAAGCGUUGUUCGGAAUUACUGGGCGUAAAGGGCGCGUAGGCGGCGCAACAAGUCACUUGUGAAAUCUCCGGGCUUAACUCGGAACGGUCAAGUGAUACUGUUGUGCUAGAGUGCGGAAGGGGCAACUGGAAUUCUCGGUGUAGCGGUGAAAUGCGUAGAUAUCGAGAGGAACACCUGCGGCGAAGGCGGGUUGCUGGGCCGACACUGACGCUGAGGCGCGAAAGCCAGGGGAGCAAACGGG